ensembl:lncRNA PCED1B-AS1 PCED1B antisense RNA 1
UUGCUUUAGGAAGCGGAAGACUAAUGACCGAAGCUUCAAGACUUUGACAUGUGUGAAAACAUGAAAUGACCCUUGGCUCUUAUUGUUCUUGCUGGUGUGGUAUGUUCACGGCUGAAAAGAUGGUCAGAAGGGGAAAGGAGGAAGUGAGAAGAAAGAAACAGGGAAAUGACAGAGUGUUGCUCAGUUACCCAGGCUGGAGUGCAAUGGCAUGAUCUUGGCUCACUGCAGCCUCCACCUCCUGGGUUCAAGCGGUUCUCGUGCCUCAGUCUCCCAAGUAGCUGGGAUUACAGACGAAAUCUUGCUCUGUUGCCCAGGCUGGAGUGCGAUGGCAUGAUCUUGGCUCACGGCAAACUCCGCCUCCCUGGUUCAAGUGAUUCUCCUGCCUCAGCCUCCCGAGUAGCCGGGAUUACAGGCAUGUGCCACCAUGCCCCGUUGGCCAGGCUGGUCUCGAACACCUUACCUCAGGUGAUCCUCCCACCUUUGGGAUUACAGCAGGCUGAGGAAUUACCAAGGAGGCAGGAGGUGGAGCAAAACACACCAAGCCUGGUGCCAAUCAUUGACAAUAUUAUGGAACUGACUCAGCGCAAGAAGACAGCUUCGACUCCUUGUGAUUUCAUCCCUAACCAAUCAGCACUCCUGGCUCACUGGCUUCCCCCAACCCACCAAAUUGUCCUUAAAAACUCUGCUCUCCAAACGCUGGGGGAGACUGAUUUGAGUAAUAAUAAAACCCUGGUCUCCUGCACA